UUGGAUAAGAAAAAAAAAUAAAAGCUGUAAACUUUUAAAAUAAAAAUUAUCGGAU
rnacentral:tRNA from 1 species